ACUCAAAUGAAUUGACGGGGGCCCGCACAAGCGGCGGAGCAUGCGGAUUAAUUCGAUGCAACGCGAAGAACCUUACCUGGGUUUGACAUGUGCGCUAAAGCCGUAGAGAUACGGUGUCCUUCGGGGGCGUUCACAGGUGGUGCAUGGCUGUCGUCAGCUCGUGUCGUGAGAUGUUGGGUUAAGUCCCGCAACGAGCGCAACCCUUGUUCGAUGUUGCCAGCGGUUCGGCCGGGGACUCAUCGAAGACUGCCGGGGUCAACUCGGAGGAAGGUGGGGAUGACGUCAAGUCAUCAUGCCCCUGAUGUCCAGGGCUUCACGCAUGCUACAAUGGCCGGUACAAAGGGCUGCGAUACCGUGAGGUGGAGCGAAUCCCAAAAAGCCGGUCUCAGUUCGGAUCGGGGUCUGCAACUCGACCCCGUGAAGUCGGAGUCGCUAGUAAUCGCAGAUCAGCAACGCUGCGGUGAAUACGUUCCCGGGCCUUGUACACACCGCCCGU
rnacentral:rRNA from 1 species